rnacentral:snRNA from 1 species
GAACUUCAGCAGCAAAUAUCUUAAAGUUGGAACAAUACAGAGAAGAUUAACAUUCUCUCUGAGCUCGGAUGAUAGUGCAAAUCUGAAAUGUUUGAUUUUUAA